rnacentral:misc_RNA from 1 species
AAACGAAAAAACCGCCUUGCAGGGCGGUUUUUUCGAAGGUCCUAAGAGCUACCAACUCUUUGAACCGAGGUAACUGGCUUGGAGGAGCGCAGUCACCAAAACUUGUCCUUUCAGUUUAGCCUUAACAGGCGCAUAACUUCAAGACCCAACUCCUCUAAAUCAGUUACCGAUGGCUACCGCCACUGGCGAUUUGUCGUGUCUUUCAGGCUUGGAUUCAAGAGUGUGUUACCUGAUGAGGCGCGGUAGUCGGACUAAACGGGGAGUUCGUGCAUAUAGUCCAGCUUGGAGCGAACCACCUACAAGGAACCCAGUUGCACGGGAAGGAAUGUGAAAACGCCACCUUACGGCGGUCUGCAAUGGGUAAACCUCAGGGUGGGAACAGGAAAGCGCACGAGGGAGCGACUUACCGGAAACGGUGGGGAUCUUUAAGUCCUGUCAGGUUUCGCCACUUCUGAUUUGAGCACCAGAAAUCAUUCGAUUUCUGUGAUGUUCGUCAGGAGGGCGAAGCCUAUGGAAAA